rnacentral:rRNA from 1 species
CCUACGGGAGGCAGCAGUGAGGAAUAUUGGUCAAUGGACGAGAGUCUGAACCAGCCAAGUAGCGUGAAGGAUGACUGCCCUAUGGGUUGUAAACUUCUUUUAUAUGGGAAUAAAACGUUCCACGUGUGGGAUUUUGUAUGUACCAUAUGAAUAAGGAUCGGCUAACUCCGUGCCAGCAGCCGCGGUAAUACGGAGGAUCCGAGCGUUAUCCGGAUUUAUUGGGUUUAAAGGGAGCGUAGGUGGAUUGUUAAGUCAGUUGUGAAAGUUUGCGGCUCAACCGUAAAAUUGCAGUUGAGACUGGCAGUCUUGAGUACAGUAGAGGUGGGCGGAAUUCGUGGUGUAGCGGUGAAAUGCUUAGAUAUCACGAAGAACUCCGAUUGCGAAGGCAGUUCACUGGACUGCAACUGACACUGAGGCUCGAAAGUGUGGGUAUCAAACAGGAUUAGAUACCCGAGUAGUC